rnacentral:rRNA from 1 species
GACGAACGCUGGCGGCGUGCUUAACACAUGCAAGUCGAACGAAAAGAGGGAAAGAGCUUGCUCUUUCCGGAAUUGAGUGGCAAACGGGUGAGUAACACGUAAACAACCUGCCUUCAGGAUGGGGACAACAGACGGAAACGACUGCUAAUACCGAAUAAGUUCCAAGAGCCGCAUGGCCCAUGGAAGAAAAGGUGGCCUCUACCUGUAAGCUAUCGCCUGAAGAGGGGUUUGCGUCUGAUUAGCUGGUUGGAGGGGUAACGGCCCACCAAGGCGACGAUCAGUAGCCGGUCUGAGAGGAUGAACGGCCACACUGGAACUGAGACACGGUCCAGACUCCUACGGGAGGCAGCAGUGGGGAAUCUUCCGCAAUGGGCGAAAGCCUGACGGAGCAACGCCGCGUGAGUGAUGACGGCCUUCGGGUUGUAAAACUCUGUGAUCCGGGACGAAAAGGCAGAGUGCGAAGAACAAACUGCAUUGACGGUACCGGAAAAGCAAGCCGCGGCUAACUACGUG